rnacentral:rRNA from 1 species
UACGGGGGGGGCAAGCGUUGUUCGGAAUUACUGGGCGUAAAGGGCGCGCAGGCGGCGGAUCAAGUCAGAUGUGAAAGCCCCGGGCUUAACCUGGGAACUGCAUUUGGGACUGGUUUGCUAGAGAUCGGGAGAGGAGAGUGGAAUUCCCAGUGUAGAGGUGAAAUUCGUAGAUAUUGGGAAGAACACCGGUGGCGAAGGCGGUUCUCUGGACCGAUACUGACGCUGAGGCGCGAAAGCGUGGGGAGCAAACAGG